rnacentral:misc_RNA from 1 species
UUUCCGUAGGUGAACCUGCGGAAGGAUCAUUAUUGGAUUUUGAAACUUCAGGCUGCUGCUGGCUCUCCUCGGAGGGCAUGUGCACGCUUGUUGUCCAUUAUUUCUCCCACUGUGCACAAAUUGUAGACCUUUCAGUAGGCCUAUGUUGUUUUUCACAAUCUCUGAAUGUAAUAGAAUGGUUUUGAAUCUUGGGAAAUACAAUACAACUUUCAGCAACGGAUCUCUUGGCUCUU